rnacentral:rRNA from 1 species
UACGAAGGGGGCUAGCGUUGCUCGGAAUCACUGGGCGUAAAGGGUGCGUAGGCGGGUCUUAAGUCAGGGGUGAAAUCCUGGAGCUCAACUCCAGAACUGCCUUUGAUACUGAGGAUCUUGAGUCCGGGAGAGGUGAGUGGAACUGCGAGUGUAGAGGUGAAAUUCGUAGAUAUUCGCAAGAACACCAGUGGCGAAGGCGGCUCACUGGCCCGGUACUGACGCUGAGGCACGAAAGCGUGGGGAGCAAACAGG